ACUACCUUUAAUUUAGUCCAGAGAGACUGACAAGGUAAGUAACUUAUUUCCUUGGGGAUUGUUUGUCAACCGUUCCUUUAAGUUACCCUUACUGUAAAAGCUUCUUGUCUUCUCUAAGGCAAGGGGCUUUUUUGU
rnacentral:sRNA from 1 species